CCUGAAAAGUUCUAAGGACAUAAAGGUUUGGUCCUAGCCUUAUUGUCAGCCCUCUCUCGGCUUACACAUGCAAGUCUCAGCACACCUGUGAGGACGCCCUUUCCCCUUUCUCAGGCUAAGGAGCCGGCAUCAGGCCCAUCUGCCCAUUACGCCUAGUCCCACCACGCCCUCAAGGGCCUUCAGCAGUGAUCAACAUUGUCUAUAAGCGAUAGCUUGACCCAGCCAUAGAUUGAAGAGCUGGCUAACUCGGUGCCAGCCGCCGCGGCUAAACCGCACGAGCUCAAGUUGAUAAUUAUCGGCGUUAAGCGUGCUUAAAGACCUCAACAAUUUAGAGCAGAAUCUACACUUAGCUGUGACAAGCUUGCUGUAAGAGAAAAACAUGAACGAAAGUCGCCCUAAUCUUCUUGAACUCACGACAGUCGGGAAACAAACUGGGAUUAGAUACCCCACUAUGCCCCACCGUAAAACAUUAACUCACACCCACCAACGCCCGGGUAUUACGAGCCCUAGCUUAAAACCCAAAGGACUUGACGGUGUCCUAUCCAACUAGAGGAGCCUGUUCUUUAAUCGACAACCCCCGAUUCAUCUGACCCCACUUUGCCAAUCAGCCUGUAUACCUCCGUCGCAAACUUACCAUAUGAGUGCCUAUAGUAAGUCCAAUGAUUUUAACAUCAACACGUCAGGUCAAGGUGCAGCCUACGGUGCGGGAAGCAAUGGGCUACAAUUUCUAUAACAGAACAUACGAAAUGCUUCAUGAAACACAGCCACGAAGGCGGAUUUAGCAGUAAAAAGAAAAUAACGUGUUCUCUUUAACAAGGCCCUAGGACGUGUACACACCGCCCGUCACCCUCUUCAAUGAUCCCCUUACCCGUUUAUUACUAACUUACACCCACAAGAAGAGGCAAGUCGUAACAUGGUAAGUAUACCGGAAGGUGUGCUUGGUCUAACAAAAUAUAACUUAAACAAAGUCCCUCGCUUACACCGAGAAAAUAUCCGUGAGACUCGGAUUGUUUUGAGCCUAAAAUCAAGCCUAACAAAAACAUAUGAAAACCACACCUCAACCCUUUUUAACAAAACAUUUUACCAAUUUAGUAGAGGCGAUCAAAAUAUUAAUUAGCGCUUUACCAUAAGUACCGCAAGGGAAACAUGAAAUAGCUCUGAAAUAGCCCCAAAGCACAACACAGCAGAGAAUCCCCUCGUACCUUUUGCAUCAUGGUUUAGCUAGUUUCCUCAAGCAAAGCGAUGCAUCAGUUUGACCCCCCGAAACUAAGCGAGCUACCUCAAAACAGUUUAUUGAACUAACCCGUCUCUGUCGCAAAAGAGUGGGACGAUUUUCAGGUAGAGGUGAAAAGCCUACCGAGCUUAGAGAUAGCUGGUUAUUCAGGAAAAGAAUUUUAGUUCAACCCCAAGCCCUCCAUUUAUAUUCAAUAAACCCACCCGGCUUAGGAGCUAUUCAAAUAAGGCACAGCUUAUUUGAUACAGGAGACAACCUACAAAAAAGGGUAAACCCCCUCUAAAACUAAAUAAGUGGGCCUGAAAGCAGCCACCUUUAAGAAAGCGUUAUAGCUCUAUUUACCACAAAGAUUAAUUCCUACCCACACAUUAAACCCUUUAAUCCUACUGAAUGAUCCUAUAAAAUAUAGGAACCCCAAUGCUAAAACUAGUAACAAGAAGUUGAACUUCUCCAAAAUACAAGCAUAAGUCAAAACGGACAAACCAUUGAUAAUUAACACCCCCUGACUUUGAUAUAGUAACAAAACAAGAAAACCCUACAAGCACCUAAUGUUAACCUUACACAAGCGUAUUUCUGGAAAGAUUAAAAAAAAGGGAAGGAACUCGGCAAAUAGUAACCCCGCCUGUUUACCAAAAACACCGCCUCUUGAUUCUUAUAAGAGGUCCAGCCUGCCCAGUGACAUAAUUAAACGGCCGCGGUACCCUGACCGUGCGAAGGUAGCAUAAUCACUUGUUCUCUAAAUAAGGACUUGUAUCAACGGCAUCACGAGGGUUAUACUGUCUCCCCUUUUUAAUCAGUGAAACUGACUUUCCCGUGAAGAGGCGGGGAUAAAAAUACAAGACGAGAAGACCCCAUGGAGCUUUAAACCCAAUAAUAACUUCUACUCUAAUUACUACUUAAUCAAGAAGGCCUAUCUAUUGGUUUUAGGUUGGGGUGACCCUGGAGUAAAACAAAACCUCCAUGACGAAUAGACCCUAUUCUAAUCUAAGAGCAACUGCUCUACGAAUCAAAAUUUUGACGUAAACUGAUCCGCUUAGCGAUCAACGAACCAAGUUACCCUGGGGAUAACAGCGCAAUCCAUUUCAAGAGCUCCUAUCGACAAAUGGGUUUACGACCUCGAUGUUGGAUCAGGGUAUCCCAGUGGUGCAGCCGCUACUAAAGGUUUGUUUGUUCACAAUUAAAACCUAC
rnacentral:ncRNA from 1 species